ensembl:lncRNA
AUUAAUGUCUAUGUUAUGGGAAGUUCUAGCGUAAUGAUCUAGUGAGCCUAACGUGAAGAUCCUCAAGCCAUGGCCCAGAGAUCCUAGGUGGUUGGGGGGAGGGGUCUGACAACACAGCAGCAACAAUAAGCGUACAUUUGAGACAGGAAGUAUUUCUUUAUUAUAUAUAUUUAUUUAAGUUGACGUUGGACUUAGUUGGUCUGCAAUAAGGUGAUCCCAUCUGUCACCGAACCAGGUCUAGACCAAUUUCAAAACAGAUACAUACCAGGUCUAAAUCAUCUUCAAACCAGGUCCAAACAAGGUUUAAAUAAUUUCUAAGGAACAACAUAUCUGAUAAAUUUCAAAGCAGACGGAUCAGAUUCUACUGAAGUAUAAAGAACGACAAACACACACACACACACAUAAACACAUAAACACAUGUACAGUCAGCCAGUGCUGCAGACACAGACUGGCAUUAACAACAUAUGGUAGUGUGUAUAAAAAGCAUAUUAAGUGCCAGAAACAAGAUUAGACCCAUAAACAACCACAUUCCCAAUGUUUAGCAGUUACGAAACCAGAAGAAAAUAUUUCUAAAAACAAUAGGUUGUCUCGCAAUAAAACAUUCCAUGAUGCAAUCCAGGCAGCAAAAACCCCGCCCACCCAGGCUUCCUGGAAUGCUGUCUGAGUAUAUUAACUGAGGACUGGUGAGGAAGAGGUUGAUGCAAGGGUUGGAUGGAGUAUAAAGGGGUUUUAGGGGGUUUGAGGAGGAGGGAGUGUAGGAGGAGUGGAGGCUUACUGGAAGCCUGCUGGAAACCAUUAACCGAGGGCUGUGUGAGGAAGUUGGAUGAAGAGGAAUAUAAGGAGCAGGGGAGAGUGAGGGAGUGUAGAUGGGCCAGGCAGAUUGGAGGGUAAGGGGUUCUGGUCCAGAGUGACUAAAGGGGUUAAAGGGUUCAGGAUGGAGGGUAAAGGGGUUGGAGAAGGAUGAGGGGUUGGAAGAGGAGAGAGAGAUUGGGUGAAGGCUUAGUGGAUGGCUGCUGGAAAACAAUAACUGAGGGGUGUGUGAAGAAGGUGGAUGAGGAGGAUGAGGAGGAAGAGGAGUAGCCAGGGAGUGUGACACAGUGUGGGGGGGAGGAGGAGGAGGUUUCUUGGCCCCAGGAGGUAGUGGUGAAGGAUCUGAUGCCAACCUUUCAGUCCAAGCCAAGUUACGUGUAGGCUGCCAUGUUAUCAGUUCAUGUUAACAGCAUCAGGGUCACGUAACGGGUCUGUCACAGGUAGAAAGGGACCGGGCCUGAAGAAUGAGAAGAUGCACCACUGCACCACGACACUGUUGGCAUCAGUCUGCAAGAUGCUUUAGAUAUAAAUGUGUUAGGUUUCUUUAAAGGGCAUGAAAUACAAAAAAAUCGGACAUGUUUUAAAUAUUAAGGUUUAGGGUAAGGGAAUCUGGUUCAGGCUGAUGGUGGGUUAGGGGUUCUGGUCCAGGCUGACCGGAGGGUUAGGGGUUCUGGUGGUCCAGGCUGACCGGAGGGUUAGGGGUUCUGGUGGUCCAGGCUGACUGGAGGGUUAAGGGUUCUGGUCCAGGCUGACUGGAGGGUUAAGGGUUCUGGUCUAGGCUGAUGGAGGGUUAGGGGUUCUGGUCCAGGCUGACCGGAACAUUAGGGGUUCUGGUCUAGGCUGAUGGAGGGUUAGGGGUUCUGGUCCAGGCUGACUGGAGGGUUAGGGGUUCUCGUGGUCUAGGCUGACUGGAGGGUUAAGGGUUCUGGUCCAGGCUGACUGGAGGGUUAGGGGUUCUGGUCCAGGCUGACUGGAGGUUUAGGGGUUCUGGUCUAGGCUGAUGGAGGGUUAGGGGUUCUGGUGGUCUAGGCUGACUGGAGGGUUAAGGGUUCUGGUCCAGGCUGACUGGAGGGUUAGGGGUUCUGGUCUAGGCUGAUGGAGGGUUAGGGGUUCUGAUCCAGGCUGACUGGAGGGUUAGGGGUUCUGGUCCAUGCUGACCGGAACUUUAGGGGUUCUGGUCCAGGCUGAUCGGAACGUUAGGGGUUCUGGUCUAGGCUGACCCGGGCCGUGCUGUAGAAGGUGAUCCUUCCGCUACAGGCGACCUGGAGGUUCACCGUGGUGGCAUAGUUGGUCCUAGGAAGCCCCGGGUGGGCUGUGAUCUGUGUUUGAACCAGAGUGUGGGGAUCUGCUUGCUGGGUGGUGGGGUUGUGGUUGGUGUGGUCGGUGGAGGGCGUGGUGGUGGGAGUUUGGGCCAGGGAAGGGCGGGCUACAUAGGCACAGAACAGCUGACUGCGACAGCUUCCCUUCUCCAGCUCUCCCUGCUCUUGGGGAGAGGAGAAGGAGGGGGAAGGAGGGUGAGCAUAGGAGAGAGGAGCAGAAGAAGAGGAGAAGGGGGCUGUUGUGACCUCAGUCUCUGGACUCUGGUCGAGGAGCUCCUGAUCGUCUCGCUGGGGAUGCCUCCCAGCCUGGGUGGCCCUGUCUGGGCUGAGCCUGCUGGGCGAGACCGGAGGCUGGAGGUAGGAGGAGCAGGCCUUGAUAGGGCUCCUGAGGUUCAGGGAACUUGGGGCAGGAGUAGAGGAGGAGGUGUCCGGUGUAUAGGAGGUCGGGUAGGGUGCAGAGCAUGGGUUCCGUGGCCGGGGUGCAGCGAUGUGAUCGGUCCAGGCGUUUGACGGAACACCAAUCGGAGGCGGGGACAGAAUGCGGGGGCAGCAGGAGCCGGAGCCAGUAACAGACUUCAUCAAGAUGGCCUGCUCCAGGCUGAGGCCCGUGGGCGGGGUAAGAACCAGGGGAGUGGAAGAGUCCUGGGGAGGAAUGGGAGUGAAGGAGUCAUGGUGAGGAGCUGGAGAGCAGAGAAAGGCGGAAGGGGAUUGGACCCGCGAGCCUGGCUCGGAGGCAGAGAAGGGCCGUGCAACCCGGUUGUGAUGGCCGGACCAGAGAGCAUCAUGGGAAGGCUGUGUUGCAGCGACGCUGGCGGGAGAACAAGAGACAUUCCUCUGGCUUGCUAGCCAUCCACCGCUUCCACUAGCACCGCUGGCACUUCUGUGGCUGACCCCUACAUCUGCCAUGCUAUCCCUGCAAUGCCUGUGGUUGUUGCUGUGGUUGCUGUUUAUAUGAACGCAGGAAUCUGAUAGGCCGACAGAUCUGGAGUGGAGGAGGGAGUUGGAGGAGGGGAGGCUGGGGAGGGGGAGUGAGGGCCAUGGCCCAGGGAGGAGGGGGUGGUCGCUGAGGAGGUGGGGGCGCUGUGGAACCAGGGGAGAUGAUAGGGGGUUGUUACAAUGGAUAAAUGGGGGCGGGGCAUUCUUCUUGGCGAUGCUUUGACUGAUGAAGGAGGCGGCCAAUGAUCUGGAGAAGGCUGAGAACGGGGCUCCGCCCCGUCUGUCCAAACCCCUCCCACUAGAGGGCUGAGGGGGGGAGAAAGGAGGGAUGGCCCUGCAGGGGGAGGGGGGGCGGUGGGUGAGGUUAGGCCUGG